CGGAGGAUGCAAGCGUUAUCCGGAUUCAUUGGGUUUAAAGGGUGCGUAGGCGGACUUGUAAGUCAGGGGUGAAAUCCGGCAGCUCAACUGUCGAACUGCCUCUGAUACUGCAGGUCUUGAGUCAACAUGAAGCAGGCGGAAUAUGGCAUGUAGCGGUGAAAUGCAUAGAUAUGCCAUAGAACACCGAUAGCGAAGGCAGCCUGCUAAAGUUGUACUGACGCUGAUGCACGAAAGCGUGGGUAGCGAACAGGAUUAGAUACCCUGGUAGUCCACGCCGUAAACGAUGAUCACUCGCUGCAUGCGAUAGACAGUAUGUGGCCAAGCGAAAGCGUUAAGUGAUCCACCUGGGGAAUACGAUCGCAAGGUUG
rnacentral:rRNA from 1 species